rnacentral:rRNA from 1 species
CAUUACAGUGUUAGGCUUCGGCCUCAUUCACACCCCUUGUUGAACCUCUGGUUUCUUUGGCGAUGUCAUGGACUCGUCAAACUUUAACUCUGGUAAUGCGAUAUUGUCCGAGUGCCAUUGAAUUAUAAAAACUUUCAACAACGGAUCUCUUGGUUCCAGCAUCGAUGAAGAACGCAGCGAAAUGCGAUAAAUAAUGUGAAUUGCAGAAUUCCGUGAAUCAUCGAGUUUUUGAACGCACAUUGCACUCCUUGGUAUUCCGAGGAGUACGCCUGUUCGAGCGUCAUUACACUAUCAAGCUUCGCUUGGAUUUGAAUCACUGUCGUGGCAGGAUUCCAAUAUUGUCGGCAAUUGACCAUCUGUGAUGACUCACUCUGAGUUAAUUCGCCGGAAAACUUUCUUUCAAGUUGACCUCGGAUCAGGCGGGGAUACCC